rnacentral:rRNA from 1 species
CAGUCGCCGCUGGAAUACCAGCACCUCGAGUGGUCAGGAGGUUUAUUGGGCCUAAAGCAUCCGUAGCCGGUUGCAUAAGUUUUCGGUUAAAUCUAUGCGCUUAACGUAUAGGCCGCCGAAAAUACUGUGCAGCUAGGGAGUGGGAGAGGUACACGGUACUCGAUAGGAAGGGGUAAAAUCCUUUGAUCUAUUGAUGACCACCUGUGGCGAAGGCGGUGUACCAGAACACGUUCGACGGUGAGGGAUGAAAGCUGGGGGAGCAAACCGGAUUAGAUACCCCCGUAGUCCCUGUCUCUUAUAC